AGGGACAGGGAAGGUCUGGCAGCAUCUGGGAGUGCCGGGCUGGGCUGGGCUGGGCUGGGCUGGGCUGGAGCCCAGCCAGUGAGGCACGGACAGGCAGGACAGGUACAGACAGGUACAGGCAGGGAAAAACAGGGACAGGCAGGGAAAAACAAACAGGGACAGGCAGAACAGGGACAGGCAGGGAAAAACAGGGACAGGCAGGGAAAAACAGGGACAGGCAGGUACAGGCAGGGCAAGAAAAGCCCAGCCAGGCCAGAGGGACAGGCAGGGACA